rnacentral:rRNA from 1 species
CCCUUAGAUGUUCUGGGCCGCACGCGCGCUACACUGAACAGUUCAACAAGUCUUAACCUUGGCCGAUAGGUCUGGGUAAUCUUUGAACGCUGUUCGUGAUUGGGAUAGACCUUUGCAAUUAUGGGUCUUCAACGAGGAAUUCCUAGUAAACGCAAGUCAUCAGCUUGCAUUGAUUACGUCCCUGCCCUUUGUACACACCGCCCGUCGCACCUACCGAUUGAAUGGUCCGGUGAAAUCUCGGGACGGCGGCUUGGUCGCUUGCGUCCGACUGCUGAAACUUGAUUAAACCAUAUCAUUUAGAGGAAGGUGAAGUCGUAACA